rnacentral:rRNA from 1 species
GACGUAGGGCGCGAGCGUUGUCCGGAUUUAUUGGGCGUAAAGAGCUCGUAGGCGGCUUGUCGCGUCGACUGUGAAAACCCGCGGCUCAACUGUGGGCUUGCAGUCGAUACGGGCAGGCUGGAGUUCGGUAGGGGAGACUGGAAUUCCUGGUGUAGCGGUGAAAUGCGCAGAUAUCAGGAAGAACACCAAUGGCGAAAGCAGCUCUCUGGGACGGUACUGACGCUGAGACGCGAAAGCGUGGGGAGCGAAACAGG